ensembl:ncRNA F46C8.16 ncRNA
UUUUGUGUGCUCGAACCCAGUCAGCAACGCGUCGUCUCCGAUCCACCGCAUCCAUUGUCAUUAUCUCUAAUCCUUCGGUCGGGAGGGUCCGUGCCGAUGCAUCCGUCGGUCGGGCACAAGGUUUACACACCCUACCCCUCAUAUAUUUCGCUUCGGUAAUUCGUUUUCUUUCUAUGACACCG